GUGGGUAUAGUUUAAUAAAAACGCCAGAUUGUGAUUCUGGAGACGGGGUUAAACUCCUCUUACCCACC
rnacentral:tRNA from 1 species